GGUUGCGAUCAUACCAGCACUAAAGCACCAGAUCCCAUCAGAACUCCGAAGUUAAGCGUGCUUGGGCGAGAGUAGUACUAGGAUGGGUGACCUCCUGGGAAGUCCUCGUGUUGCAUUCC
rnacentral:rRNA from 1 species